UACGAGCGGUGCAAGCGUUAUUCGGAAUUAUUGGGCGUAAAGGGCGCGUAGGCGGGUCAUUAAGUUUGUUGUUAAAUCCUCUGGCUUAACCAGAGACAAGCAAUAAAAACUGGUAACCUAGAGCGUGAGAGAGAGAAGUGGAAUUCCCGGAGUAGCGGUAAAAUGCGUAGAUCUCGGGAGGAACACCAAUGGCGAAGGCUGCUUCGUGGCUCAUUGCUGACGCUGAGGCGCGAAAGCGUGGGGAGCGAACAGG
rnacentral:rRNA from 1 species